ACAAGCGGAGGAACAUGUGGUUUAAUUCGAUGAUACGCGAGGAACCUUUACCCGGGCUUGAAAUGCAGACGACGGACUUGGAAACAGGUCUUCCAGCAAUGGCGUCUGUGUAGGUGCUGCAUGGUUGUCGUCAGCUCGUGCCGUGAGGUGUCGGCUUAAGUGCCAUAACGAGCGCAACCCCUAUCAUUAGUUACUAACAGGUCGAGCUGAGGACUCUAGUGAGACUGCCGCCGUAAGGUGUGAGGAAGGUGGGGAUGACGUCAAAUCAGCACGGCCCUUACGUCCGGGGCGACACACGUGUUACAAUGGGUGGUACAAAGGGCAGCUACAUGGCGACAUGAUGCUAAUCUCCAAAACCGCUCUCAGUUCGGAUCGGAGUCUGCAACUCGACUCCGUGAAGCUGGAUUCGCUAGUAAUCGCGCAUCAGCCACGGCGCGGUGAAUACGUUCCCGGGCCUU
rnacentral:rRNA from 1 species